GGGGUAUAGUAACACAGUAACAGAGGGAUUGAGGGCCCUGCUCAGUGAGUUUACAUGUUAGAGGGAGUGGGGUAUAGUGACAGUAACAGAGGGAUUGAGGGCCCUGCUCAGUGAGUUUACAUGUUAGAGGGAGUGGGGUAUAGUGACAGUAACAGAGGGAUUGAGGGCCCUGCUCAGUGAGUUUACAUACUAGAGGGAGUGGGGUAUAGUGACAGUAACAGAGGGAUUGAGGGCCCUGCUCAGUGAGUUUACAUGCUAGAGGGAGUGGGGUAUAGUGACACAGUAACAGAGGGAUUGAGGGUCCUGCUCAGUGAGUUUACAUGUUAGAGGGAGUGGGGGUAUAGUGACAGUAACAGAGGGAUUGAGGGCCUGCUCAGUGAGUUUACAUGUUAGAGGGAGUGGGGUAUAGUGACACAGUAACAGAGGGAUUGAGGCCCUGCUCAGUGAGUUUACAUGCUAGAGGGAGUGGGGUAUAGUGGCACAGUAACAGAGGGAUUGAGGCCCUGCUCAGUGAGUUUACAUGUUAGAGGGAGUGGGGUAUAGUGACACAGUAACAGAGGGAUUGAGGGCUUGCUCAGUGAGUUACAUGUUAGAGGGAGUGGGGUAUAGUGACACACUAACAGAGGGAUUGAGGGCCCUGCUCAGUGAGUUUACAUGCUAGAGGGAGUGGGGUAUAGUGACACAGUAACAGAGGGAUUGAGGGCCUGCUCAGUGAGUUUACAUGCUAGAGGGAGUGGGAUAUAGUGACACAGUAACACGGAUUGAGGGCCUGCUCAGUGAGUUUACAUGUUAGAGGGAGUGGGGUAUAGUGACACAGUAACAGAGGGAUUGAGGCCCUGCUCAGUGAGUUUACAUGCUAGAGGGGGUGGGGUAUAGUGACACAGUAACAGAGGGAUUGAGGGCCUGCUCAGUGAGUUUACAUGUUAGAGGGAGUGGGGUAUAGUGACACAGUAACAGAGGGAUUGAGGGCCCUGCUCAGUGAGUUUACAUGUUAGAGGGAGUGGGGUAUAAUGACACAGUAACAGAGGGAUUGAGGGCCCUGCUCAGUGAGAUUACAUGUUAGAGGGAGUGGGGUAUAGUGACACAGUAACAGAGGGAUUGGGGGCCCUGCUCAGUGAGUUUACAUGUUAGAGGGAGUGGGGUAUAGUGACACAGUAACAGAGGGAUUGAGGGCCUGCUCGGUGAGUUUACAUGCUAGAGGGAGUGAGGUAUAGUGACACAGUAACAGAGGGAUUGAGGGCCUG